rnacentral:rRNA from 1 species
AAAUGGGUGGUAAAUUCCAUCUAAAGCUAAAUAUUGGCGAGAGACCGAUAGCGAACAAGUACCGUGAGGGAAAGAUGAAAAGCACUUUGGAAAGAGAGUUAAACAGUAUGUGAAAUUGUUGAAAGGGAAACGAUUGAAGUCAGUCGUGCUCUUUGGAUUCAGCCGGUUCUGCCGGUGUACUUCCUUUGAGUGGGGUCAACAUCAGUUUUGAUCGCUGGAUAAAGGCUGGAGGAACGUAGUACCCUCGGGUAAACUUAUAGCCUCCUGUCACAUACAGUGGUUGGGACUGAGGAACGCAGCACGCCUUUAUGGCCGGGAUUCGUCCACGUACGUGCUUAGGAUGUUGA